rnacentral:rRNA from 1 species
GAUGAACGCUAGCGGCAGGCUUAAUACAUGCAAGUCGAGGGGCAGCAGCUUUAUAGCAAUAUAGAGGCUGGCGACCGGCAAACGGGUGCGGAACACGUACACAACCUUCCUUUAAGAGGGGGAUAGCCCAUAGAAAUGUGGAUUAAUACCCCGUAACAUACCGGUGUGGCAUCACACUGUUAUUAUAGUUCCGACGCUUGAAGAUGGGUGUGCGGCUGAUUAGGUAGUUGGAGGGGUAAAGGCCCACCAAGCCUUCGAUCAGUAGCUGAUGUGAGAGCAUGAUCAGCCACACGGGCACUGAGACACGGGCCCGACUCCUACGGGAGGCAGCAGUAAGGAAUAUUGGUCAAUGGACGCAAGUCUGAACCAGCCAUGCCGCGUGAAGGAUGAAGGUCCUCUGGAUUGUAAACUUCUUUUAUAGGGGGCGAAAAAAGGGAAUUCUUUCUCACUUGACAGUACCCUAUGAAUAAGCACCGGCUAACUCCGUGCCAGCCGCCGCAGUAA